rnacentral:rRNA from 1 species
CGAAAGCCUGAUCCAGCAAUGCCGCGUGUGUGAACAAGGCCUUAGGUUGUAAAGCACUUUAUCCGGAAAGAAACCCUCUGGGUUAAUACCCCAAAGAAUGACGGUACCGGAAAAUAACACCGGCUAACUACUGCCACACCGCGGUAAUACUAGGUGCAAGCGUUAAUCAAAUUACUGGGCGUAAAGCGUGCCAGCGGUUUUGUAAACGAUGUGAAACCCUGGGCUCAACCUGGGAACUGCAUUCUAUCUGUUUUAUCUUUAGUAUACAAAGGGGGUAAAUUCCCUGACAAUGAAUUGCGUAAUCCUAUUGAACUCCGGCCCCUGCGGUCAACAUUGGGAAGCUCCCACCCUUGAUGCUACUUGAUUUCAAUUGUCCCCAAAUGCUGGCUAGUCGUGGCCUGACAGUUCUG